rnacentral:rRNA from 1 species
GUGCCAGCAGCCGCGGUAAUUCCAGCUCCAAUAGCGUAUAUUAAAGUUGUUGUGGUUAAAAAGCUCGUAGUUGAACCUUGGGCCUGGCUGGCCGGUCCGCCUCACCGCGUGCACUGGUCCGGCCGGGCCUUUCCCUCUGUGGAACCCCAUACCCUUCACUGGGCGUGGCGGGGAAACAGGACAUUUACUUUGAAAAAAUUAGAGUGCUCCAGGCAGGCCUAUGCUCGAAUACAUUAGCAUGGAAUAAUAAAAUAGGACGCGCGGUUCUAUUUUGUUGGUUUAUAGGACCGCCGUAAUGAUUAAUAGGGACAGUCGGGGGCAUCAGUAUUCAACUGUCAGAGGUGAAAUUCUUGGAUCAGUUGAAGACUAACUACUGCGAAAGCAUUUGCCAAGGAUGUUUUCAUUAAUCAGGAACGAAAGUUAGGGGAUCGAAGACGAUCAGAUACCGUCGUAGUCUUAACCAUAAACUAUGCCGACUAGGGAUCGGACGGUGUUAUUCAUGACCCGUUCGGCACCUUACGAGAAAUCAAAGUGCUUGGGCUCCAGGGGGAGUAUGGUCGCAAGGCUGAAACUUAAAGAAAUUGACGGAAGGGCACCACCAGGGGUGGAGCCUGCGGCUUAAUUUGACUCAACACGGGGAAACUCACCAGGUCCAGACACAAUAAGGAUUGACAGAUUGAGAGCUCUUUCUUGAUUUUGUGGGUGGUGGUGCAUGGCCGUUCUUAGUUGGUGGGGGUGACUUGUCUGCUUAAUUGCGAU